rnacentral:rRNA from 1 species
GAUGAACGCUAGCUACAGGCUUAACACAUGCAGGUCGAGGGGCAUCAGGAAGAAAGCUUGCUUUCUUUGCUGGCGACCGGCGCACGGGUGAGUAACACGUAUCCAACCUGCCCUUUACUCGGGGAUAGCCUUUCGAAAGAAAGAUUAAUACCCGAUAGCAUAAUGAUUCCGCAUGGUUUCAUUAUUAAAGGAUUCCGGUAAAGGAUGGGGAUGCGUUCCAUUAGGUUGUUGGUGAGGUAACGGCUCACCAAGCCUUCGAUGGAUAGGGGUUCUGAGAGGAAGGUCCCCCACAUUGGAACUGAGACACGGUCCAAACUCCUACGGGAGGCAGCAGUGAGGAAUAUUGGUCAAUGGGCGGUAGCCUGAACCAGCCAAGUAGCGUGAAGGAUGAAGGCUCUAUGGGUCGUAAACUUCUUUUAUAUAAGAAUAAAGUGCAGUAUGUAUACUGUUUUGUAUGUAUUAUAUGAAUAAGGAUCGGCUAACUCCGUGCCAGCAGCCGCGGUAAUACGGAGGAUCCGAGCGUUAUCCGGAUUUAUUGGGUUUAAAGGGAGCGUAGGUGGACUGGUAAGUCAGUUGUGAAAGUUUGCGGCUCAACCGUAAAAUUGCAGUUGAUACUGUCAGUCUUGAGUACAGUAGAGGUGGGCGGAAUUCGUGGUGUAGCGGUGAAAUGCUUAGAUAUCACGAAGAACUCCGAUUGCGAAGGCAGCUCACUGGACUGCAACUGACACUGAUGCUCGAAAGUGUGGGUAUCAAACAGG